AGUGAACGCUGGCGGUAGGCCUAACACAUGCAAGUCGAACGGCAGCACAGAGUAGCUUGCUCCUUGGGUGGCGAGUGGCUGACGGGUGAGGAAUACAUCGGAAUCUACUCUGUCGUGGGGGAUAACGUAGGGAAACUUACGCUAAUACCGCAUACGACCUACGGGUGAAGGCAGGGGAUCUUCGGACCUUGCGCGAUUGAAUGAGCCGAUGUCGGUUUAGCUAGUUGGCGGGGUAAAGGCCCACCAAGGCGACGAUCCGUAGCGGGUCUGAGAGGAUGAUCGGCCACACUGGAACUGAGACACGGUCCAGACUCCUACGGGAGGCAGCAGUGGGGAAUAUUGGACAAUGGGCGCAAGCCUGAUCCAGACAUACCGCGUGGGUGAAGAAGGCCUUCGGGUUGUAAAGCCCUUUUGUUGGGAAAGAAAUCCAUCUGGUUAAUACCCGGGUGGGAUGACGGUACCCAAAGAAUAAGCACCGGCUAACUUCGUGCCAGCAGCCGCCGUAA
rnacentral:rRNA from 1 species